AUGUAAUUUUUGUGUGAAUUUUAUUUAUUUUAAUAAUAAAUAAUUUAUUUUUAUUUUCAGUAAUUUAUAUUAUUAACCAAGUAAAUUUGUAGGUAGUAAUUUUGUUAAAUAUUGGCUAAAUUUGUGCCAGCAGUCGCGGUUAUACAAAUAAUAUAAAUUAAAUUUUAUUGGUUAUUAAGUAAAAAUUUUAUUUUAAUUUUAUUUUAUAAUAUGUUUAUUAGGUGAAAUUUUAAAUUUAUUUAUUUAAAGUUUUAUAUUUUGAUUCUUGUAAAUUUUAUAUAAAAACUAGGAUUAGAUACCCUAUUAUUUAAAAUUUAAAUCGUUAAACUAAGGUAGUAUUAGUUAUGUUCUUGAAACUUAAAAGAUUUGGCGGUAUUUUAGUCUAUUCAGAGGAACCUGUUUUUUAAUCGAUAAUCCACGUUGAACCUAACUUAAUCUUGUUUUUCAGUUUAUAUACCGUCGUUAUAAGAAUAUUUUAUUAGAAUAAUAAUUUUCAAUAAUUUUUAUAAGAAUUUAUAUCAGAUCAAGGUGUAAUUUAUGAUUAAGUAAAAAUAGGUUACAAUAAAUUUAUUUAUUGGAUUUAAAUUUGAAAAAUUUAAUGAAAUUGGAUUUGAUAGUAAAUUUAUAUAGAUUAUUAAUUUGAUUAUAGCUCUAAAAUAUGCACAUAUCGCCCGUCGCUCUUUCUGUUAAAGUAAGAUAAGUCGUAACAUAGUAGAUGUA
rnacentral:rRNA from 1 species